UUGACCUCAAAUCAGGUAGGACUACCCGCUGAACUUAAGCAUAUCAAUAAGCGGAGGAAAAGAAACUAACAAGGAUUCCCCUAGUAACUGCGAGUGAAGCGGGAAAAGCUCAAAUUUAAAAUCUGGCGGUCCUCGCGGCCGUCCGAGUUGUAAUCUGGAGAAGCGUUUUCCGCGUCGGACCGUGUACAAGUCUUCUGGAAUGGAGCGUCGUAGAGGGUGAGAAUCCCGUCUCUGACACGGACCGCCGAUGCUUUUGUGAUACGCUCUCGAAGGGUCGAGUUGUUUGGGAAUGCAGCUCAAAACGGGUGGUAAAUUCCAUCUAAAGCUAAAUAUUGGCGAGAGACCGAUAGCGAACAAGUACCGUGAGGGAAAGAUGAAAAGCACUUUGGAAAGAGAGUUAAACAGUACGUGAAAUUGUUGAAAGGGAAACGUUUGAAGUCAGUCGCGUCGGUCGAGACUCAACCUUGCUCUUUUGCUCGGUGCACUUCUCGGCCGACGGGUCAGCAUCAAUUUCGACCGUCGGAUAAAGGCCGAGGGAAUGUGGCAUCUUUCGGGAUGUGUUAUAGCCUUCGGUUCGCAUACGGCGAUCGGGAUUGAGGAACUCAGCGCGCCUUUAUGGUCGGGGCUUCGGCUCAC
rnacentral:rRNA from 1 species